AUAGCUUUUUUUGGUUAAUGAUGA
rnacentral:siRNA from 1 species